UUAAGUUCAGCGGGUGGUCCUACCUGAUUUGAGGUCAAGUUUAUCAACUCCAACGAGGUAUAGCAGCAGCCAUGAGACCUUUCCAUCAGAUGCAGAUAAUUAUCACACCUAACAGAGGUUCGACCGCUCAUGUAUUUCAGGGGAGCAGACUGACCGACUGAGUCCGAGCCUGCAUCAUCCCCCAAGUCCAAGCCACACAC
rnacentral:misc_RNA from 1 species